rnacentral:rRNA from 1 species
GAUCCUGGCUCAGGACGAACGCUGGCGGCGUGCCUAACACAUGCAAGUCGAACGGAGUCGGCCCCGCAAGGGACUGACUUAGUGGCGAACGGGUGAGUAACGCGUGAGCAACCUGCCUUUCAGUGGGGGACAACAGUUGGAAACGACUGCUAAUACCGCAUGAAGCAUAAUGAUCGCAUGGUCGAUAUGCCAAAGAUUUAUUGCUGAAAGAUGGGCUCGCGUCUGAUUAGA